CCUACGGGUGGCAGCAGUAGGGAAUCUUUCACAAUGGGCGAAGGCCUGAUGGAGCAACGCCGCGUGCAGGAUGAAGGCCUUCGGGUUGUAAACUGCUUUUAUAAGCGAGAAAUAUGAUGGUAACUUAUGAAUAAGGAUCGGCUAACUACGUGCCAGCAGCCGCGGUCAUACGUAGGAUCCGAGCAUUAUCCGGAGUGACUGGGUGUAAAGAGUUGCGUAGGUGGCAUAAUAAGUAGCUAGUGAAAUCGGGUGGCUCAACCAUUCAGACUAUUAGCUAAACUGUUAAGCUCGAGACCGUUAGGGGUAACUGGAAUUUCUAGUGUAGGAGUGAAAUCCGUAGAUAUUAGAAAGAACACCAAUAGCGUAGGCAGGUUACUGGGACGGUUCUGACACUAAGGCACGAAAGCGUAGGGAGCAAACGGGAUUAGAUACCCCUGUAGUC
rnacentral:rRNA from 1 species